UUACAAUUUCCCCCAAAGAACCAUCUCUACCAUCUUUCUUUUAAACCUUCCAUUCUCAUUCUUUUCUACAACCGGCCCCCUCUUCAUCACUCUUUCUUUUUCUCUUCCUCUCUCUCUCUCUCUGUUUGUUUCUUUCUUUUUAUCUUUUGAGUUCUUUUCCUUUUUCACUCACCUUUCACAAAAAAAUAGGUGAAAUUCAUCUCUGUCGCUCACAAUUCGCAAAAAAAAUUCUAAACCUCAAACAAACAAAUCGCAUAAAACCCCAAACCCUCUUAUCAACGAAGAGAAUUCCCACACAAUCGAAGUUUGAAACCAACAAAUCAAUUUCAAGUGUUAAGCUGCUAGGGUCUGGGUCUUCGAAUUCCGACGAGCUGUUUCCAUACGAACCGCGGCGCACCGUACCGUGCCGUGCCGUGCCGUCGAACACAAUCCUCUCUGCUCUAUCUCCGGCGUUCAAGCCAUUAAGUGAUCGUGGAUUCUUGUGAUAUCUGAAAUUGAUUAGAUCAGGCAUUUUCAGUUCUGUCGGUUCGUUUUCGGUUUUCAAAACUUCUUUGUAUGCAAUCUGAUUAUGAACAAAAUUCUUGAGCGGAACCAUAAAAGUUGCUAUUCCUCACAAGACAAUGUUGCUGAGAACGAAACACAGCAUGCAUGUUGGUUGGAGUCAAAUGCAAAACCAUAGAAUCAAAAUUUAAGAUUACCAUAUGUAUUUGAGAGCACAGCUGAUGAAAAUUUUACUGAUUGUAAAUGAUAAAUGUUACGAGCAUGGGCAAAGCAUAACCAAUUUUAAAUCAGCUUUUCAGGUAUGCGUUGAUUCCAUAUUCAAACCAUCACUUCCGUUUAGUAUGCUGUUUAUCAUUUUGUGAUCAUAGCACUGUCAGGCGGUGUUACUAUUGUGAAUGUUAUGCGAGAAAGCAAAGAAAAUUCUAAUGGGAGAAAGCAAGGUUAAGGUGAAGAUUUUGGUUUGCCCUUUAGCUUUCAAUAAUUUCAAUGCUAAUUAGGAGUUUUUCUUCAUAUGUUUUCUUUCGUGUUUCAACUUCCGAUUACACUCAAUUUUAUGUAUUUGCUGAACGCCUUCUUUGUUUUACAAAAUGUUUCUAUAUUCCCAAAUAGUUGUACCAUGAACCAACACUACUUAGAUCACACUGAUAGUACUUGGACCUAAAAAAAGAAUGGUCAAAAGGGGUUGAAUUAAAUUUUGAUAUAUGAUUGAGAAUAUGUGCUUUCGAAAGGUUU